rnacentral:tRNA from 1 species
GAGAAGAUGGCCGAGUGGUUUAUGGCGCUAGACUGUAAAUCUAGUGAUUUUUAUCUUCACAAGUUCGAAUCUUGUUCUUCUCA